rnacentral:lncRNA from 1 species
GAAUGAUGAAAACAUUGUUUUUAAACCUAUGAAAUUUGAUUGAGUUGUGGAAAUGAUGAAAUGUUGAAGUUAAACCCAUGAAAUUUGAUUGAAUUGUGUGAAUAAUGAAAAUGUUGUUGUUAAACCCAUGAAAUUCGAUUGAAUUAUGUGAAUGAUGAAGAUUUGGUUGUUAAACCCAUAAGAUUUGAUUGAAUUGUUUGAAUGAUGAAAAUUUUGUUGUUAAACCCAUGAAAUUUGAUUGAAUUGUUUCAAUGAUGAAAAUGUUGUUGUCAAACCCAUGAAAUUUGAUUGAAU